UACGGGGGGGGGCAAGCGUUGUUCGGAAUUACUGGGCGUAAAGGGCUCGUAGGCGGCCAACUAAGUCAGACGUGAAAUCCCUCGGCUUAACCGGGGAACUGCAUCUGAUACUGGAUGGCUUGAGUUCGGGAGAGGGAUGCGGAAUUCCAGGUGUAGCGGUGAAAUUCGUAGAUAUUGGGAAGAACACCGGUGGCGAAGGCGGCUAUCUGGCCCGUAAUUGACGCUGAGGCGCGAAAGCGUGGGGAGCAAACAGG
rnacentral:rRNA from 1 species